rnacentral:rRNA from 1 species
AGUGGCGGACGGGUGAGUAACACGUGAGAAUUUGCCUUUAGGAGGGGGAUAACAAUCGGAAACGAAUGCUAAUACCCCAUAUGCUUUUGAGUGAAAUGGAUUUAUCCGCCUAAGGAGAAGCUCGCGGCUGAUUAGCUUGUUGGUAAGGUAAGAGCUUACCAAGGCGACGAUCAGUAUCUGGUUUGAGAGGACGAUCAGACACACUGGAACUGAGACACGGUCCAGACUCCUACGGGAGGCAACAGUGGGGAAUUUUCCGCAAUGGGCGAAAGCCUGACGGAGCAAUACCGCGUGAGGGAAGACUGCCUAUGGGUUGUAAACCUCUUUUUUCAGGGAGGAAUAAAUUGACGUGUACCUGAAGAAUAAGCAUCGGCUAACUCCGUGCCAGCAGCCGCGGUAAGACGGAGGAUGCAAGUGUUAUCCGGAAUCACUGGGCGUAAAGCGUCUGUAGGUGGUUUAAUAAGUCAACUGUUAAAUCUUGAGGCUCAACUUCAAAAUCGCAGUCGAAACUAUUAGACUAGAGUAUAGUAGAGGUAAAGGGAAUUUCCAGUGGAGCGGUGAAAUGCGUAGAUAUUGGAAAGAACACCAAUGGCGAAAGCACUUUACUGGGCUAUUACUAACACUCAGAGACGAAAGCUAGGGUAGCAAAUGGGAUUAGAUACCCCAGUAGUCCUAGCCGUAAACUAUGGAUACUAGAUGU